AGCAAUUUCUCCCCAGCGACCAGGCCCAUAUUUUAUUUUUAAUGGUAAGUUUGGCUAUAAAGAUACAUAAAAUAUUGUAGCCUACACCUCAAACUGUUAUUUGUUCCACAAUAAUUCACUCUUGCCUCCUUUUUCGGGUAUCAUGGCUCGAGAUUUCUUUGAGGACAAAUCAUCGAGAUAUGCUGCACCCUAUGUCAGGGAGGUGUUUUUGGGACCACGUCAUUUCUUUCAAGACAAUGACCCAAUACACACUGCCGCCCGGGUUUGCAUUGCAAAUGAGGGCAUAAACUGGGUCAAGACGCCAGCAGAAAGGGAGAAGCCGAGAUGUCCAAGUUGUGGAAAAGAUCAUGUUGUGUAAACCAAGAAGCCACGUCUUUGGAAUGCCCGACAAGGGUGUAAGAGAAUGAGGUGGCCAAAGUCAGGGCUGUCCAGAGCAUUUCAUAUGCAGCAGCUGUUAAAAGGGUUGAGACUUUGAAUGGUGCACCUGAAGAGUCCAUGGUGGUGGAUCCUGACAUUUUAAAGGUUGAGAUGGUGGACUUGUGGCCUUUAUAGCUAUGGUGAUUAAUGGCACUGACAAGAUGGAGAGAAGGUCCAGGAGGAUGGUUAUCAUUGUGGAUGCGGCGGAACGGUUCCUGCAACUGAAAGAUUUCUCCGCGGAGAGGUUACAUGGAAUAUUGUCACAAGCCGUAUCACCCUCUCAGGCCCUAGAGCCUGAGAAGAGAGAUACAGUGAGGGAAAAAAGUAUUUGAUCCCCUGCUGAUUUUGUACGUUUGCCCACUGACAAAGAAAUGAUCAGUCUAUAAUUUUAAUGGUAGGUUUAUUUGAACAGUGAGAGACAGAAUAACAACAAAAAAAUCCAUGUCAAAAAUGUUUUAAAUUGAUUUGCAUUUUAAUGAGGGAAAUAAGUAUUUGACCCCCUCUCAAUCAGAAAGAUUUCUGGCUCCCAGGUGUCUUUUAUACAGGUAACGAGCUGAGAUUAGGAGCACACUCUUAAAGGGAGUUGAUAAGGAAUUGAAAAAUGGUAUGGUUGAGAGGGAUGAGGCAAAUAAGUCUGCAGCCCAACUGAUUGCAAACGUACUGCAAAUUAAGAAAUCAUGUGACUAAACUAAAUAAAAAUAAACUAUGCUAUGAAACAAAGAUACAUUUUAUAAAGAAUAAUAGUAAAAAGCUGUGGGGCACGUUAUAAAUGAGGUUUUGG
rnacentral:lncRNA from 1 species